AGAACGAACGCUGGCGGCAGGCCUCAAACAUGCAAGUCUAGGGGGGUGUAGCAAUACAUCACCGGCGGACGGGUGCGUAACACGUGGGAAUAUACCUUUUGGUUCGGAACAACUGAGGGAAACUUCAGCUAAUACCGAAUGUGUCCUUGCGGAGAAAGAUUUAUCGCCAAAGGAUUAGCCCGCGUUCGAUUAGCUAGUUGGUAGGGUAACGGCCUACCAAGGCGACGAUCGAUAGCUGUUCUGAGAGGAAGAUCAGCCACACUGGGACUGAGACACGGCCCAGACUCCUACGGGAGGCAGCAGUUGGGAAUCUUGGACAAUGGGGGAAACCCUGAUCCAGCCAUGCCGCGUGAGUGAUGAAGGCCUUCGGGUUGUAAAACUCUUUCGACGGGGACGAUAAUGACGGUACCCGUAGAAGAAGCUCCGGCUAACUUCGCGCCAGCAGCCGC
rnacentral:rRNA from 1 species